ensembl:lncRNA
CUCACACGCACACACAUAUAUAUAUGCAUUUUUAAAAUAUUUAUUGUGCCACUUUCAAUCUGCAUUAGGGCAUUUUAGCACUCUGGAUGACCUUCCUUUGUAUCUCGAUGGAAUAAAUAAAACACCAGUGAAGGAAAUAAGUAGUUUGUACAGGUUGAACAUGCUCAUGCUAAAAGUGAUGAUUCCAUGUAUAUCCUUUUGCUGAUAGUCCAAAUGUCACAGGGGCACUGGCAAUAAAGACAUAUUGCUUUCAUCCAUCUCUCUUUCUUUUUUCCCCCACUGUCUUCCCCUUGCGUCUUCCUUCUGUCUACCCAUCUCCAUUUUUGCCGAUUGCUUUGCACCAUUAAUAUUUCAUGUGUAAUGUGGCUCUUUUGGAUAGUGUGAGCAUGUGUAUGUGCCCCUUUGAGCCCGUGGUGGUGCGCGUGCAUGUACGUACACACGUGUGUGUGUGUGUCUACGGCUGCAUACGUGCGUGUUUGUGUGUUUGUACUGCAGUAUCAAAUUCUGCUCUCACAGCUGUCGGCCAGUCUCAGCCUGGUUGUGAUCUGUCUGUCUACCUCUCAACCUUCAACCUCUCCUUCUGUUUCACUCUCUUUCUCGCCUUCUUCAGAGUUGUUUCUCUUUCAUUUUACAUACCUCUGUUGCUCUCUGGGUCUUUUCUUCUCCAUUUCAUUUCUAUUUUUUUUCUCUUGCAGCAUCUUGUUGCCUAUCUUAACAUCCUUUUCAUCCCUCCCUCUGAGCUACUACAACCCCAAUUUUUUUUAAUUUUUAUCUUGCAUUACGUUCAAUCUGCCUGGCUCUGGUUAUUUUCACCUUUCAGCUAUUUUUUUUUCUAAAAUACUUCCUUGAUUUUCUUCUUUUUUUUGAAUGGCGGUUUUUACUUGAGUUUGUGAAAACAAGUUGGAAGUAGUUGAGAAAUGAUGAAUGAAAAAGGCCUUGAACUGUUUUUAAGAAGCAGUUGCAGCAGCCAAGCAGAAACCUCAUACUGAACAAGGAUGAUGGUGGUGUUAGAGGAUAUGGUGUGACCUCUUCAGCAAAAGAAAGGGGACAAUUAUUUAUUUAUUUAUUUAUUUGGUUAUUUAUUUUUCUGAUGAUCAGUGUUAUAUGCACAAAACUGCUACAACUCAGAAAAGUUCAGAGGUGGGAAUGAAUUUCUUUUGCUUGCCAUAAAGUAUUCUCAAAUGUCUCUUUAGGCAGCCCUUCAAGUUUGUGUGUGUGUGUGUGUGUGUGUGUGUGUGUGUGUAUUUAAGAGAGAGAGAGAGAGAGGGCUUGUUUGUGUGCACCAAAAGCCUCCUGCUGGUUAUAGGCACACACACUCUGCACCGUAAUGAACAGAAUUAACACUGACACACACAUUUUCCAUUUAUUACGCUCGUCUCUCAUUAUCGAAUUUCCAUGCAUGCUCUCCCGUGGAUGUGUGUGUGUGUUUAUGCUGUUGCACUGUAUGUAUA